AGUCGUAACAAGGUCUCCGUAGGUGAACCUGCGGAGGGAUCAUUACACAAAUAUGAAGGCGGGCUGGAACCUCUCGGGGUUACAGCCUUGCUGAAUUAUUCACCCUUGUCUUUUGCGUACUUCUUGUUUCCUUGGUGGGUUCGCCCACCACUAGGACAAACAUAAACCUUUUGUAAUUGCAAUCAGCGUCAGUAACAAAUUAAUAAUUACAACUUUCAACAACGGAUCUCUUGGUUCUGGCAUCGAUGAAGAACGCAGCGAAAUGCGAUAAGUAGUGUGAAUUGCAGAAUUCAGUGAAUCAUCGAAUCUUUGAACGCACAUUGCGCCCUUUGGUAUUCCAAAGGGCAUGCCUGUUCGAGCGUCAUUUGUACCCUCAAGCUUUGCUUGGUGUUGGGCGUCUUGUCUCUAGCUUUGCUGGAGACUCGCCUUAAAGUAAUUGGCAGCCGGCCUACUGGUUUCGGAGCGCAGCACAAGUCGCACUCUCUAUCAGCAAAGGUCUAGCAUCCAUUAAGCCUUUUUUUUCAACUUUUGACCUCGGAUCAGGUAGGGAUACCCGCUGAACUUAAGCAUAUCAAUGUAAAAGUCG
rnacentral:rRNA from 1 species